CGCCUCGCUCCGCUUCCUUUCGCAACCAUGUCUGACAAACUCGAUAUGGCUGAGAUUGAGAAAUUCGAUAAGUCGAAAUUGAAGAAGACAGAAGCGCAAGAGAAAAAUCCACUGCCUUCAAAAGAAACGAUUGAACAGGAGAAGCAAGCAGGCGAAUGGUAAUGAGGCACGCACCUCUGAAAUGCACUGUACAUUCCACAAGCGUUGCCUUCUUAAUUUACUUCUUUUAGCCAUUUAACUUUGUAACAUGCAAGGAGGUUGGAUCAAGUUUAAAAUGACUGUGCUGCCCCUUUUCACAUCAGAACUACUGACAACGAAGGCCGCGCCUGCCUCUCCCAUCUGCCUGUCUUGCUGGCAGGGAUGGAAAAGAACUUGCAUGUCGCUGAAGG